rnacentral:lncRNA from 1 species
CCCCCCAUUCAUAGAGCAAAAUCCUUUCCUUUUUUAUGUAACGUUCAUUAGUCGGCAUGUUAAGACAAAAAGAAUCCAAUCCAGUCUCUGGCUUGAUUUCUAUACUUAAUCCGUUCAACCAAAUCAUCAACCAUAAUUAAUCUCUACCUAACAGAUUUUUCCGGCGUAUAAGCAUAUAUAUGUAUUAUUUUAUCAAAACAAGAACAUAAUUAACCUCUACCUGCUUGAUUUCUUUUUUUUUUGGUAUCUACCUACUUGAUUCCUGCAUAUAAUCAAAUUAACCUCUACCUACUUCAUUUCUCUUUUUUUUACGAUGUACCUACUUGAUUCCUCCAUAUAAUCAAAUCACAAACAUAAUUAAUCUCUGACAUGUUUGACUCAAGCUGGAACAUCCCCAAUCAUGCAUAGGUUGUUGAU